rnacentral:lncRNA from 1 species
GAAACAUGGCCUUCGAUGUUGCCCACUUGGCAGUUUCCACCAUUGUUGACUCACUUAGGCUGAUGGCAGCUGCCUCUGCUGGGAAGGAAGCGUUUUUCCCACAACAUAUUAAAUGCGGCACUGGAGGAUGGCUGGCUGGUCCAGGGGCCGGAUCUGGCUCUGUUGCUCACAAUGAUUCUGUUUGGCAAGCGUUUUUAAAAAGCCUUGAAAAGAAGAAAUGCGUGAGGAUUGAAAUUGGCAACCAAUCUUUGAAAGCCUAGUAGACACCCGAUGCCUUCAACAUGUCUUAUAUGACCCUUGCCUCCAGCCUGUAAGGCUGGAGUGCAGUGGUGUGAUCUCAGCUCACUGAAACCUCCGCCUCCCGGAUUCAAGCAAUUCUCUUGCCUCAGCCUCCUGAGUAGCUGGGAUUACAGGUACCCUCUAUCAUGCCCGGGUAAUUUAAA